rnacentral:rRNA from 1 species
ACUUAAAUUGAAGAGUUUGAUCAUGGCUCAGAUUGAACGCUGGCGGCAGGCCUAACACAUGCAAGUCGAGCGGUAGCACAGAGAGCUUGCUCUCGGGUGACGAGCGGCGGACGGGUGAGUAAUGUCUGGGAAACUGCCUGAUGGAGGGGGAUAACUACUGGAAACGGUAGCUAAUACCGCAUAACGUCGCAAGACCAAAGUGGGGGACCUUCGGGG